rnacentral:lncRNA from 1 species
GAGACUGUCCGGUGGAGAUGUCCGAGGCAGUCUUGGACAUGGAAAGGCAGAUAUUCAAGGAUUUAAUAGUCGAAACGAUCCAAGACCUUGCUGAGUUCGGCUGCAAAACGACCCUCUUAACAUCCCUGCGUCGGAAGUUAGUUUUCUAAGCUGAUAAACAAAAGUGGGCAAGAUAACCUCAUUGAGAAGGGAGGCUGUCUUGGACAUGGAAAGGCAGAUAUUCAAGGAUUUAAUAGUCGAAACGAUCCAAGACCUUGCUGAGUUCGGCUGCAAAAUGACCCUCUUAACAUCCCUGUGUAGGAAGUUAGUUUUUUAAGCUGAUAAACAAAAGUUUGCAGGAUAACCUCAUUGAGAAGCCUCCUUAUUUCUUGCUUUUUCCUUUCUCUUUUAAAUUUGUUUUCCACGUUUUAGGUUUGGGUUCCUAUUGAUUCUUGAUUACGUAGGUAAGUACUAUGCUGUUGUAAUGGUCACUUUCGAAGAUGUAAAAAAGGGGAAAGUGUUGUUAGAGACUGGACUGGAGUUUGGUGAUCUUUCUUUCUUUCUUUCUCUGAAAUGCAUAAGUUUUGAGUUAGUUGGCAGAAAUCAUUGCUUAUCAGGUGACUCAAGUAAAUUAAAUUUUUGACCCUUUGGGAAAAGUGGUGCAUAUUUGGUGAUUUUACUAAUGUUUAAGGGUUGAUAACAUGAUUUUUGUGUUAAGUUGUCAUCAUUUUCUGAUUUCCGUUCUGAUUGGCUGGCAAAAAAGCAAAAAGGGUUGUUUAGUGUAUCUCUAUACCUUGAAAAAAAGUACUCCCUAAUGUCCAUUUUCAUUGAUUUUUUGGUUUUAUUUUUGCAAUCC